UGAGGAAUAUUGGUCAAUGGGGGCAACCCUGAACCAGCCAAGUCGCGUGAAGGAUGAAGGUCUUAUGGAUUGUAAACUUCUUUUACACGGGAAUAAAGUGGGGGACGUGUCCCCCUUUGCAUGUACCGUGUGAAUAAGGAUCGGCUAACUCCGUGCCAGCAGCCGCGGUAAUACGGAGGAUCCGAGCGUUAUCCGGAUUUAUUGGGUUUAAAGGGUGCGCAGGCGGGAUGUUAAGUCGGCGGUGAAAUUUUGCAGCUCAACUGUAAAAGUGCCUUCGAUACUGGCCUCCUUGAGUGUGGAUGAAGUAGGCGGAAUUUGUGGUGUAGCGGUGAAAUGCUUAGAUAUCACGAGGAGCUCCGAUUGCGCAGGCAGCUUACUAAGCCACAACUGACGCUCAUGCACGAAGGCGUGGGGAUCAAACA
rnacentral:rRNA from 1 species